UAGUUGGUCGUGAGGCUGACGAACAUUGAGUUGGGCUGAGCAAGGCUUUUGUCUCUAUUCGAAAC
rnacentral:rRNA from 1 species